UUCCCCACGGGACGCAGCAGUGGGGAAUAUUGGGCAAUGGGCGCAAGCCUGACCCAGCAACGCCGCGUGAAGGAAGAAGGCUUGCGGGUUGUAAACUGCUUUUCUCAGGGACGAAGCAAGUGACGGUACCUGACGAAUAAGCCACGGCUAACUACGUGCCAGCAGCCGCGGUAAUACGUAGGUGGCAAGCGUUAUCCGGAUUUAUUGGGUGUAAAGGGCGUGUAGGCGGGAAUGCAAGUCAGAUGUGAAAACUAUGGGCUCAACCCAUAGCCUGCAUUUGAAACUGUAUUUCUU
rnacentral:rRNA from 1 species